AACUUUCAACAACGGAUCUCUUGGUUCUCGCAUCGAUGAAGAACGCAGCGAAACGCGAUAGUUAAUGUGAAUUGCAGAAUUCAGUGAAUCAUCGAGUCUUUGAACGCACAUUGCACCUUUUGGUAUUCCGAAAGGUACCUCUGUUUGAGCG
rnacentral:rRNA from 1 species